GACGAACGCUGGCGGCGUGCCUAAUACAUGCAAGUAGAACGCACAGUUUAUACCGUAGCUUGCUACACCAUAGACUGUGAGUUGCGAACGGGUGAGUAACGCGUAGGUAACCUGCCUGGUAGCGGGGGAUAAUUAUUGGAAACGAUAGCUAAUACCGCAUAAUAUUAAUUAUUGCAUGAUAAUUAAUUGAAAGGUGCAAUUGCACCACUACCAGAUGGACCUGCGUUGUAUUAGCUAGUAGGUGAGGUAACGGCUCACCUAGGCGACGAUACAUAGCCGACCUGAGAGGGUGAUCGGCCACACUGGGACUGAGACACGGCCCAGACUCCUACGGGAGGCAGCAGUAGGGAAUCUUCGGCAAUGGACGAAAGUCUGACCGAGCAACGCCGCGUGAGUGAAGAAGGUUUUCGGAUCGUAAAGCUCUGUUGUAAGAGAAGAACGGGUGUGAGAGUGGAAAGUUCACACUGUGACGGUAUCUUACCAGAAAGGGACGGCUAACUACGUG
rnacentral:rRNA from 1 species